rnacentral:rRNA from 1 species
UGGGGAAUUUUGGACAAUGGGCGAAAGCCUGAUCCAGCAAUGCCGCGUGAGUGAAGAAGGCCCUUGGGUUGUAAAGCUCUUUCGGUCGGGAAGAAGGAAUGUGCGCUAAUAUCGCAUGUGACAGACGGUACCGGCAUAAGAAGCACCGGCUAACUACGUGCCAGCAGCCGCGGUAAUACGUAGGGUGCGAGCGUUAAUCGGAAUGACUGGGCGUAAAGGGUGUGUAGGCUGUUUUAUAAGUCUGAUGUGAAAUCCCCGGGCUCAACCUGGGAACUGCGUUGGAUACUGUAAGACUAGAGUACGUAAGAGGGGGGUGGAAUUCCACGUGUAGCAGUGAAAUGCGUAGAGAUGUGGAGGAACACCGAUGGCGAAGGCAACCCCCUGGGACGAUACUGACGCUGAGGCACGAAAGCGUGGGGAGCAAACAGGAUUAGAUACCCCUGUAGUCC